GGUGGGGAACAUUUUUCUUCAGGACAGUUUUUGAAGAUCAACAAAUUAAGAGUUACAUGUUAUCACUGAUUCCAUGGAACCUUAACGAAUUUUUAUAGUAUGGAUUUAUUUUUCCAAAGGCCACAUCUGUCUAACCCCUCGCAUGCAUAUGCACCAGUUCAAAGGCAGGAAAAUAUUGGCCAUGGGUACAUUUAGUAGUUCUAUUUUGUAUGUUUGUUGAUGUUGUGACAAACUAAUGUGUUAUACUGUUCGAUAUAUAUAUUUUUUAAAUCUUGUCGGGGUCAUUCAGAGCUUGAUACCCUGUUGAAAAACUUGAGGUGACCACAGUGAAUUUGUGUCUUGUAUUAUGACCGUUUUUUAUUCAUGCCUAUGCCGUUCUAAGCCAAGUCACCAUUCAUGCAAAAGUUACCUUUAUCAAUGAGCAAAUUUGAAAAUACUGAUCAUAUACACCAUUGGAAAAAUAAAACCAUAUUAUAAAAAA
rnacentral:lncRNA from 1 species